UACGGAGGAUCCGAGCGUUAUCCGGAUUUAUUGGGUUUAAAGGGAGCGUAGAUGGAUGUUUAAGUCAGUUGUGAAAGUUUGCGGCUCAACCGUAAAAUUGCCGUUGAAACUGGUUGACUUGAGUAUAUUUGAGGUAGGCGGAAUGCGUGGUGUAGCGGUGAAAUGCAUAGAUAUCACGCAGAACUCCGAUUGCGAAGGCAGCCUGCUAAGCUGCAACUGACACUGAUGCUCGAAAGUGUGGGUAUCAA
rnacentral:rRNA from 1 species